rnacentral:rRNA from 1 species
AUUGAACGCUGGCGGCAGGCUUAACACAUGCAAGUCGAGCGGAGCGAGGGUGCUUGCACCUUAGCUUAGCGGCGGACGGGUGAGUAAUGCUUAGGAAUCUGCCUAUUAGUGGGGGACAACAUUCCGAAAGGAAUGCUAAUACCGCAUACGCCCUACGGGGGAAAGCAGGGGAUCUUCGGACCUUGCGCUAAUAGAUGAGCCUAAGUCGGAUUAGCUAGUUGGUGGGGUAAAGGCCUACCAAGGCGACGAUCUGUAGCGGGUCUGAGAGGAUGAUCCGCCACACGGGGACUGAGACACGGCCCAGACUCCUACGGGAGGCAGUAGUGGGGAAUAUUGGACAAUGGGCGGAAGCCUGAUCCAGCCAUGCCGCGUGUGUGAAGAAGGCCUUUUGGUUGUAAAGCACUUUAAGCGAGGAGGAGGCUACUUAGAUUAAUACUCUGGGAUAGUGGACGUUACUCGCAGAAUAAGCACCGGCUAACUCUGUGCCAGCAGCCGCCGCCGUAA